CCCCGGUAAACGGCGGCCGUAACUAUAACGGUCCUAAGGUAGCGAAAUUCCUUGUCGGGUAAGUUCCGACCUGCACGAAUGGCGUAAUGAUGGCCAGGCUGUCUCCACCCGAGACUCAGUGAAAUUGAACUCGCUGUGAAGAUGCAGUGUACCCGCGGCAAGACGGAAAGACCCCGUGAACCUUUACUAUAGCUUGACACUGAACAUUGAGCCUUGAUGUGUAGGAUAGGUGGGAGGCUUUGAAGUGUGGACGCCAGUCUGCAUGGAGCCGACCUUGAAAUACCACCCUUUAAUGUUUGAUGUUCUAACGUGGACCCGUAAUCCGGGUUGCGGACAGUGUCUGGUGGGUAGUUUGACUGGGGCGGUCUCCUCCUAAAGAGUAACGGAGGAGCACGAAGGUUGGCUAAUCCUGGUCGGACAUCAGGAGGUUAGUGCAAUGGCAUAAGCCAGCUUGACUGCGAGCGUGACGGCGCGAGCAGGUGCGAAAGCAGGUCAUAGUGAUCCGGUGGUUCUGAAUGGAAGGGCCAUCGCUCAACGGAUAAAAGGUACUCCGGGGAUAACAGGCUGAUACCGCCCAAGAGUUCAUAUCGACGGCGGUGUUUGGCACCUCGAUGUCGGCUCAUCACAUCCUGGGGCUGAAGUAGGUCCCAAGGGUAUGGCUGUUCGCCAUUUAAAGUGGUACGCGAGCUGGGUUUAGAACGUCGUGAGACAGUUCGGUCCCUAUCUGCCGUGGGCGCUGGAGAACUGAGGGGGGCUGCUCCUAGUACGAGAGGACCGGAGUGGACGCAUCACUGGUGUUCGGGUUGUCAUGCCAAUGGCACUGCCCGGUAGCUAAAUGCGGAAGAGAUAAGUGCUGAAAGCAUCUAAGCACGAAACUUGCCCCGAGAUGAGUUCUCCCUGAG
rnacentral:rRNA from 6 species